rnacentral:rRNA from 1 species
CCUACGGGAGGCAGCAGUAGGGAAUCUUUCACAAUGGGCGAAAGCCUGAUGGAGCAACGCCGCGUGCAGGAUGAAGGCCUUCGGGUUGUAAACUGCUUUUAUAAGCGAGAAAUAUGAUGGUAACUUAUGAAUAAGGAUCGGCUAACUACGUGCCAGCAGCCGCGGUCAUACGUAGGAUCCGAGCAUUAUCCGGAGUGACUGGGUGUAAAGAGUUGCGUAGGUGGCAUAAUAAGUAGCUAGUGAAAUCUGGUGGCUCAACCAUUCAGACUAUUAGCUAAACUGUUAAGCUCGAGACCGUUAGGGGUAACUGGAAUUUCUAGUGUAGGAGUGAAAUCCGUAGAUAUUAGAAGGAACACCGAUAGCGUAGGCAGGUUGCUGGGACGGUUCUGACACUAAGGCACGAAAGCGUAGGGAGCAAACGGGAUUAGAUACCCGAGUAGUC